rnacentral:lncRNA from 1 species
CGUGGAGUCCUCAGCACAGCAGAGACUUUCCCUGCUUCUCCCGGCACUUUCCCUGCUAUAGCAGCCACCAUCCCCCAGCUGGAAUCUUCAUGGAGAUACCACCACCUAGUGUUAAACGUGGGGCUGGAGGACAAGGAAACGGGGCGCUCAGAGCAGCUUCAGGGCUGUGCUCCAUCACAGGGGACACAGCCUCACGUUCAGCCUUUCACCCACCAGGACCCCCAGGUCCUUCUCCGCAGGGAGUCCCUACUGGUAUCUGGGAUUACUCCAAGUGGAAACCCCUUGUUGUCCCCUCCAUAUCCCCUUCACUCUCCACACCUCCUGUAUCACACCCCUAGAGGGCACCUGUCCCUCCCAGCAGCCUUAUACCGAGCCCCGAUAAUCCCCACACCCCCACAGCAUCUCUGCCUCUCCCCAAACCCCCCAGUGCCCCACCUCGAGUCCAACCCCCUGCACAUCCCCUAUAGACCCCCACCAACCUCCAGACCCCCACCAUCAGCCCUCGGACCCCCUUCGAUCCCCAUCUCUCCGCUGCUGAGGGCGGCGUUAGGACCGCGCGGUUCGCACCUGUGGCCCGGGGCGAGGCAGGUACCGGCUGCGGUUCUGCCCCCCGCUCCGCCCCCCGGACGACACCUGCGGCCCCGGACCCGCAGCAGCCGCUGUUACGGAGCGGGUGAGUGGGGCGGUUCGGGGCUGUUUGUGGUUCCGCUGUUCGUGUUUUGGUGUCGGUUUGAGUCUCCGUUCCUCUCCCGCUCUCGGGUCCCCGCUCGCUCGGUCCCAGUUUUCGGUCUCAGUUUCGGGUUCCGGUUGCGGCUCCUCGGUGCUCGGUCCCGGUCUUGGGCUCUCGGUUUUCGGAUCCUUGUUCCGGAUCCCGGUCCUGGUCCCGGUCUCGGUUUUGGGUCUUCACACCCGGUCCUGGCUUGGUGGUCUCCCGGGUCUGUAGUCUUUGGGGUCCCCGGUCUUUGUGGUCCCCCAGGGCUGCCAUCUUUGGGGGUCCCCAGUCUUUCGGGUCCCCCUGGGUCCCCAGUCUUCGAGGUCUGA